AGCGUCGUUCUAAAAAGGCGCUUCAGUUCCGACUCCCGCCAUAUAGAACCCUAAGCAAAUCCAGUCAUAAUCUCAAAUCCCACUCUCUCGUUUCAAGCUCUAGAUCUCCACAGCGAUAAUGCUUUCUGCUCUCAAUCAUACCCGAUCCAGGUGUAAUGUUCAUACCAUAUCCAAAGAAGCCAGCAGGUGGGCAUGUUCUUGCUCAUGCUGUAACCAUCAGGCUCAGUUUCAGGAAAGGCAAAGGAGAGCAACGUGUAUGCAAAGUCUUUGACGCACCAAAUCUGCCUGAAGCCGAAGCAAUAUCCCUUUUUUUUAACAAAUCUAUCACAACUUGCUAUUCAUCCAUAAUGCAUAACUUUGUUUUCCUUAACAAAAAGAAAGCAUGUCUUCCAGAUUACUUCCGGAAGCGUUGCAGAUGCCAAAGACUAGAGCCGGCCUAGAGGAGUUAUUUAUGUCUUGUUACUUAUUAUGCCUGUUUUCUUUCUACUAUGAGUAGCCAUAUUUGACCCACUGGACUUUACUUGGGAAGUUAUUUUUCUUACCAUGACUUAUUAUUAGCUUCUUAUUAUCAAAUACAAGCUGCAAAUGCACUUGAAUCA